rnacentral:rRNA from 1 species
UACGGAGUGGGCUAGCGUUGUUCGGAAUUACUGGGCGUAAAGCGCACGUAGGCGGCUUUGUAAGUUAGAGGUGAAAGCCCGGGGCUCAACUCCGGAAUUGCCUUUAAGACUGCAUCGCUAGAAUUGUGGAGAGGUAAGUGGAAUUCCGAGUGUAGAGGUGAAAUUCGUAGAUAUUCGGAAGAACACCAGUGGCGAAGGCGACUUACUGGACACAUAUUGACGCUGAGGUGCGAAAGCGUGGGGAGCAAACAGG